rnacentral:rRNA from 1 species
GUGGGGAAUCUUGGACAAUGGGGGCAACCCUGAUCCAGCGAUGCCGCGUGAAUGAAGAAGGCCUUUGGGUUGUAAAGUUCUUUCACCUGUGACGAUAAUGACGGUAACAGGAGAAGAAGCCCCGGCAAACUCCGUGCCAGCAGCCGCGGUAAGACGGAGGGGGCUAGCGUUGUUCGGAAUGACUGGGCGUAAAGGGCGCGUAGGCGGUUGAUCAAGUCAGGCGUGAAAGCCUCGGGCUUAACCUGAGAGGUGCGUUUGAGACUGAUCGACUAGAGGACGAGAGAGGAAAGUGGAAUUCCGAGUGUAGAGGUGAAAUUCGUAGAUAUUCGGAGGAACAUCAGAGGCGAAGGCGGCUUUCUGGCUCGUAACUGACGCUGAGGCGCGAAAGCGUGGGGAGCAAACAGG